rnacentral:snoRNA from 1 species
UGCUCUGAAUGGUACCUGCACUCAGUAGUCCCUCCCGCUGGCAGUGUGUUAGACAUUCACUAUCUGGCAUUGUUGGUUUUCUUGGCUUUGGUGUCUAUUAAACCUGGUAUUUCUAUUGAUACACUU